GCGUGGGUAGUAUAAUGGUUAUUAUCUCGGUUUCCCAUCAUAUGGCGUUGAUUGAGUAAUCACGACACUCUUACCGAGGAACCGGGUUCGAUUCCCGGCUCACGCA